AUCAUUUUUAAAUACGUUUUGUAGUUGCCAAUGUCUUGGAUCUGCUGAAAAACGUGGAACUAUGGUGAGGUGGACUCACCUCUAGAUAAUCUAUGAUGGUUCCCAAGUAGUCAGAGUUUUCCUUGGCCAGCUUGAAGCGAGCCUCUGUCUUUUCGAGAACACUUUGCCACUCGACAAGAACAGAUGACUUAUCAUCAGCCAGACGCUGUAGGACAGCUACCACGAACUCGGUCUUCAACUGCUCCAAAGUUCCGUAGAGCUCCACCUCCAUUUUGUGCCAGUAGCGGUGCUCCGCCAUUGGAGUAAAAUCGUCUAGUUUGGCAUCCCUGCUGCUGUGUGUAUGUGAUCACCAGAUCCAGUCUUUUGGGAUCGACGGGCACCCGGAU